UACGAACUGUGCGAACGUUAUUCGGAAUCACUGGGCUUAAAGGGUGCGUAGGCGGUUAUCUAAGUCAGGUGUGAAAUCUUUCGGCUCAACCGGAAAACUGCGCUUGAUACUGGAUGACUUGAGUGAGGUAGGGGUGUGUGGAACUUCCGGUGGAGCGGUGAAAUGUGUAGAUAUCGGAAGGAACGCCAGCAGCGAAAGCGGCACACUGGGCCUUUUCUGACGCUGAGGCACGAAAGCCAGGGGAGCGAACGGG
rnacentral:rRNA from 1 species